rnacentral:rRNA from 1 species
GUGCCAGCCGCCGCGGUAAUACGGAGGGUGCAAGCGUUAAUCGGAAUUACUGGGCGUAAAGCGCACGCAGGCGGUCUGUCAAGUCGGAUGUGAAAUCCCCGGGCUCAACCCGGGAACUGCAUUCGAAACUGGCAGGCUGGAGUCUCGUAGAGGGGGGUAGAAUUCCAGGUGUAGCGGUGAAAUGCGUAGAGAUCUGGAGGAAUACCGGUGGCGAAGGCGGCCCCCUGGACGAAGACUGACGCUCAGGUGCGAAAGCGUGGGGAGCAAACAGGAUUAGAUACCCUGGUAGUCCACGCCGUAAACGAUGUCUAUUUGGAGGUUGUGCCCUUGAGGCGUGGCUUCCGGAGCUAACGCGUUAAAUAGACCGCCUGGGGAGUACGGCCGCAAGGUUAAAACUCAAAUGAAUUGACGGGGCCCGCGACAAGCGGUGGAGCAUGUGGUUUAAUUCGAUGCAACGCGAAGAACCUUACCUGGUCUUGACAUCCACAGAACUUGGCAGAGAUGCCUUGGUGCCUUCGGGAACUGUGAGACAGGUG